rnacentral:lncRNA from 1 species
AGACAGUCUUCCUGUGUUGCCCAGGCUGGAGCACAGUGGUUUGAUCUUGGCUCACUGCAGUCUCAACCUCUCAGGCUCAAGCUAUCCUUCUGCCUCAGACUCUGGGGUAGCUGGGACAACAGCCUCAGCCAAGAUGUCUCACCCUACUCUCUAUGAUGCAACAAGAAGCCCCUGGGGAAUGUUUCAGUCCCAGUCUGUACUAUUGUCAUGUGCUCAUCACAGUCUGGUGGAAUUUAAAUGACCUUUUAUCAAGAUGGAUAAACGCAAGUUUCCCAGUGCUGGAAUACAGAAAAUGGAUGGACAAGAAGUGAGGAGCGUCUCUGCGCGGCUGCCCAUCGUCUGAGAUGUGGGGAGCACCUCUGCCCCACCGCCCU